rnacentral:lncRNA from 1 species
AUAAGAUACACAUGCAAAGUACCAAUCCUCAGUUUCUUUCCGUGACCUAAAUGGCACAGCAUCAGGAGUGCAAAGCUGGCCAAGGGAGGAGAAGAAAACGAGCUUUAGGCACUUGGAUUACUGGAAUCAGAGAGUUGCUGUUGAAUGAACAGUCACAAAACUUUGAAGCACAGUUAGUUUUACUCCAUCUUGGUAUUUAAUGUCUCUUUCACAUGGCAACUAUAUCAACAUAUGUCUCACCAUGAAGUCAAGAAGAGAAAAUCCAUGACCUUAUAAAAAUCAUUUUAAAAAGACCAUGUUAAGGCAAAACUGAGCAGGAUGAUUCUUGUGUACAACUCCCUUAACUUUACAAUAGGUGUAUACUCACAAGACUUCG